rnacentral:rRNA from 1 species
GACGAACGCUGGCGGCGUGCUUAACACAUGCAAGUCGAACGGAAAGGCCCUGCUUUUGUGGGGUGCUCGAGUGGCGAACGGGUGAGUAACACGUGAGUAACCUGCCCCUGACUUUGGGAUAACUUCAGGAAACUGGGGCUAAUACCGGAUAGGAGCUCCUGCUGCAUGGUGGGGGGUGGAAAGUUUCGGCGGUCGGGGAUGGACUCGCGGCUUAUCAGCUUGUUGGUGGGGUAGUGGCUGACCAAGGCUUUGGCGGGUAGCCGGCCUGAGAGGGUGACCGGCCACAUUGGGCCUACGGUACGGCCCAGUCUCCUACGGGGGGCAGCAGUGGGGAAUAUUGCACAAUGGGCGGAAGCCUGAUGCGACAACGCCGCGUGCGGGAUGACGGCCUUCGGGUUGUAAACCGCUUUCGCCUGAGACGAAGCGUGAGUGACGGUAAUGGGUAAAGAAGCACCGGCUAACUACGUG